GACAGAGGGUGCAAACGUUGUUCGGAAUUACUGGGCGUAAAGCGCGUGUAGGCGGCAGGGCAUGUCGGAUGUGAAAUCCCGUGGCUCAACCACGGAAGUGCACGCGAAACUGCCCAGCUGGAGUCUCGGAGAGGAAGGCGGAAUGCUUGGUGUAGAGGUGAAAUGCGUAGAUAUCGGGAGGAACACCUGUGGCGAAAGCGGCUCACUGGACCACAACUGACGCUGAGGCGCGAAAGCUAGGGGAGCAAACAGG
rnacentral:rRNA from 1 species